UACGUAGGGUGCGAGCGUUGUCCGGAAUUACUGGGCGUAAAGAGCUCGUAGGUGGUUUGUCGCGUUGUUCGUGAAAACUCACAGCUCAACUGUGGGCGUGCGGGCGAUACGGGCAGACUGGAGUACUGCAGGGGAGACUGGAAUUCCUGGUGUAGCGGUGGAAUGCGCAGAUAUCAGGAGGAACACCGGUGGCGAAGGCGGGUCUCUGGGCAGUAACUGACGCUGAGACGCGAAAGCGUGGGGAGCGAACAGG
rnacentral:rRNA from 1 species